GUAAAAUGUAAUAGCUGAGCUUACUAAAAAGAUUAAGUAAACUUAACUUAUUUAAUUAAGUUUGUUAACCUUACUUAGUUUAACUAAGUAAUCCCAACUUUUUUCUAUGCAAACUCAAGUCAACUUGAUUAAACUUAACAGAUUAAUUUAGCUCAACUUAAAAUUUCAAGUUUUUUUAAAAAGGAUGACUGCACAGUAGGUGGCAGUAAUGCUCCCAAGGAGUAAGUGGUGGCUUAACUGAGUGGUUAACUGAAGAAGAUGACAACAGCACAUGGUCGGAUAAGAGCAUGAGGAGCAGGAGCUUGUUUCUUUGAAGAGAGCGCAUACCCUUCAUGGAAAGUCAGUAACGUUACUGUGGAGUACAACCAAGUCGCAAGCAAAAACCUCAGGCAAGAAUUGUUCUCAUCCCUUGCUAAACAUUGUUUUUGAAGAUUUUGAAUGAAAGAAAAGAAAUCUAAACAUCAAUGAUGUCACUGCUCGGUGGAAGGUAGUUCUCCGUGGUCUUGCUAUCCCUCUUGCGGAAGACACUACAGACUUCCGGAAAACAAACAUGGACUGUGAUGGUGACCCACCUCAACUAUCAAUAGGAAUUCUCAUUCUGGUGCCGGAGGACAGACCCAUUUCUCCACAUGGUUUACAGCAAUUGUUUGGUAGGGUGUCACAGCCAUGGAUGGACUUGAGAAAGUAUCACAUGCCAUGUGUUUAGUUUUUGGACUGAUCGUUGUUUUAAAUAUGGAGUACCUCUUCACAGCUUAUUUUGAGUUUAUUCACAGGGUUUUUCUUUCCCUGGGGCACAAAUCACUAAAGUCAAAACUGCCAUCACUACAAAACAUACUAAUGUGAAGUAGUGUGUUUUGUGUGAAACAAGUCCGUGUUACUGUAGAUCUGUUGCAUUUUGGGGUUUUUAUUUUUUGUCAGCCUGGAUACAAGUUCCAGAAAAACUCAACUUUAAUUGCUGCAAAACUUUGAUGUUUUAGUUAAGAUGUAUUUUGCGUAUUUCUGAUGGCAGAACGAGAUU